rnacentral:rRNA from 1 species
AUUGAACGCUGGCGGCAUGCCUAACACAUGCAAGUCGAGCGAGCGGCGGACGGGUGAGUAAUGUCUGGGAAACUGCCUGAUGGAGGGGGAUAACUACUGGAAACGGUCGCUAAUACCGCAUACCAUCAGAUGUGCCCAGAUGGGAUUAGCUAGUAGGUGGGGUAACGGCUCACCUAGGAGACGAUCCCUAGGUGGUCUGAGAGGAUGACCAGCCACACUGGAAAGGAGACACGGUCCAGAAUCCUACGGGAGGCAGCGGGGGGGAAUAUUGCACAAGGGGCGCAAGCCUGAAGCAGCCAAUCCGGGUGUGUGAAGAAGGCCUUCGGGUUGUAAAGCACUUUCAGCGGGGAGGCGUUACCCGCAGAAGAAGCACCGGCUAACUCCGUGCCAGCAGCCGCGGUAAUUC